CAUGAAGUGUUACAGGAAGGCGUCAAGAUGAUCAGCGUGCUGAUGCUCAUCCCUGCACUCUCUCCUUUAUCUGCUCCUCAAGCUGCUCAUCUCUUCACUCAGCACAGAGAGUCAUCACACACUGACAAGAUGCUGCCAGCACUCUGCUCUCUCUUCACUGCUCUCUCAUGUGUCAGUGGUGUGACUGUGGUGACACAGAAACCUCCUGUUCUCACACCCACUAAAGGAGAGAAGACCACUAUGCACUGUAAUCUGGGGACUGUUACUAAUUAUGCAGCUCAUUGGUAUAAACAGGUUCCAGGAGAAGCUCCAAAGCAUGUAAUAAGAAAUCGCCAUAGCUGGAGCUCUCCUUACUAUGGAUCUGGCUUCUCUUCUCCUAAAUUCAUAUCAACAUGUUCAUCUUAUUCUGACUGUAGUGUGAUCAUCAGUAAUGUGGAGAUAAAAGAACAUUGGAUGACAUUAAUCAUCACAGACAAUGGACCGGCGAAGUUGAGAAACAAAACUGAACGCUGAACACUGAACGUCGUCAAUGGUGAGAUUCAAUCAACAAAGACAGUGUCAUUCUUCAUGUUGUCAGCAGGAGUCUCUCUCUGCUGGUCCAAAGGUCUUGAAGGUUCCCUAAUUGUCACCUUUCACCCAAUUAAACAAUGAAGGAAAUAUC